GCCUACGUAGCUCAGUCGGUAGAGCACGUCCUUGGUAAGGACGAGGUCACCGGUUCAAUCCCGGUCGUAGGCUCGA
rnacentral:tRNA from 1 species